rnacentral:lncRNA from 1 species
UUUUUUUUUUUUUUUUUUUGAAAUGGAGUUUCACUCUUGUUGCCCAGGCUGGAGUGCAAUGGCGCAAUCUCAGCUCACUGCAACCACUAACUCCCGGGUUCAAGCAAUUCUCCUGCCUCAGCCUCCCAAGUAGCUGGGAUUACAGGCGUCCACCACCACACCCAGCUAAAUUUUUUUUGUAUUAUUAGUAGAGACAGGGUUUCAUCACGUUGGCCGGGCUGGUCUUGAACUCCUGACCUCAGGUGAUCCACCUACCUCGGCCUUCCAAAGUGCUGGGAUUACAGGCGUGAGCCACUGCACCCGGCCUGUUCUCAUAACUUUUGAAUUACACGGUCAUUUGGGGCUACAGUAAGCACUCAGCUCUAUAAUUACCAGCCUGCACUCCACCAGAGUGGGAGGCAGACUUUGAUGCCUGCACACUGAGGACUGUGUCUACAUUUGCUUUACCCCAAAGGAGGUGAGGACCCACUGCUGGGUCCAGCCAGAUGGUAAAACCUGAACUUCCAAGAAUCCCAAGGAGGGUUAGAAUUACCAGGAUUGAUUGAGGUCAAAAUCAUCCUUCACUCUGUCUGUAUCUACAAGGUAAGUACAGUGAUCCAGUGAGUUUAGACUAGGUAAUGGACAAGCCAAACAACUCAGGAAAACCCAGAUUUAUAUUGGUAUUUGAAUUGUGGAGCCUUGCAGAACAAGAACCUGAUGGUUUAUCUGCAGAAUAAAUAAAGGAAGAGUCCAAGUUCAUCAGAUACUUGGAAUGGCUUCAGCCAGUUCAUUUUCAGAUAUCUCUCCAGAGCCUUUCACUUUUCUCCCGUCCUAGCUCUGACUGCUCCGGGCUCCUCCUCUCCAGCCCUGCUGGCCUUGCUCCUCCUGUUUCAUUUGUUCCUGUCUCUUCAUCUGCAUCAGUCUGUGCCCUGAUGUGUGUCCCAUCCCUCCCAGACUGGGAACUCUUCUCUAUAAAUAUUUUCCCAGCCCCCAGCACAGGGCUGCAAGAGCUAGCAGCUGACAUGAGACAAAGCAGAUGGGUAAAGCAGAAGUGUCUGAUAGCUCGUCAGGACAACCCUGGCCUUCAGCAAUCUUGGCUUUUGGAGAAGUUACGUGGUCUCAGCUAAGACCGAUUCCACUGCCUAGAACCAUCCCAGCCCUGUCAUGCUCACUUCUUCUUGCAGCCCUCCAGAGCCUCCUGUGUGCAGUUGAGCUCUGAGGCCAGCCUGCCGCUGUCAGCCUCCACGCACUCGGCCUCCCGCUGCAGAGUCGCAAUGUAGCCCUGGAACAGGGGCUCCAGGUUGCUCGCACAGCACUCGCGGUUCUAGUAGAACUGCAGCUUGGUCUCCAGCAAUUUGUUCUGCUGCUCCAGGAAGCGCACCUGCCAUUCAGGAAGGAGGAAAGAGACUAAGGGGGAAGCCUGAGGGUAGGGUUUGCCUGGUCCCCCAGAGCCCUUUCUGCCCUUGAAGAUGGCCCCUGCCCUGCAGCAGCCUGUGACCUUCCCCAGGAGGCCAAAUUAUUGGCCAAGUCUGAAAGUGCAGGUC